UACGUAGGGUCCGAGCGUUGUCCGGAAUUAUUGGGCGUAAAGGGCUCGUAGGCGGUUUGUCGCGUCGGGAGUGAAAACUCAGGGCUCAACCCUGAGCGUGCUUCUGAUACGGGCAGACUAGAGGUAUUCAGGGGAGAACGGAAUUCCUGGUGUAGCGGUGGAAUGCGCAGAUAUCAGGAGGAACACCGGUGGCGAAGGCGGGUCUCUGGGCAAUAACUGACGCUGAGGAGCGAAAGCGUGGGGAGCGAACAGG
rnacentral:rRNA from 1 species